rnacentral:rRNA from 1 species
ACACGACUACAUUAGAUACCCGCGUAGUCCUAGCCGUAAACGAUACUCGCUAGGUGUCGGCCACGGUGCGACCGUUGUCGGUGCCGUAGGGAAGCCGUGAAGCGAGCCACCUGGGAAGUACGGCCGCAAGGCUGAAACUUAAAGGAAUUGGCGGGGGAGCACCGCAACGGGAGGAGCGUGCGGUUCAAUUGGAUUCAACGCCGGACAACUCACCAGGAGCGACGGUUACAUGAAGGCCAGGCUGAUGACCUUGCCUGAUUUUCCG